CUAGACAUUUUAACCCCUGAGAUGCUGUCCUCAUAAUCCUACAAAUUGGGAUCGGCCCAUGCUAGGAUUUUGCCCCUGAGCUGCCACCCUUCCAUACCAAUCGGGAUCGGCCCAUGCAAGGAUUUCACCCCUGAGCUGCCACCCUUCCAUACCAAUCGGGAUCCUCCCAUGCUAGGUUUUCUCCCAUUGGCUGCCACCCAUAAUCAUACGGAUUACUUCACUUAGAUUCUUUUAUCUUUGAGAUUGUUGCUUAUCAGUUCACAACUCUUUUGGAAUUGUUCUUUCGAUAAGAAUAACUCUUUUGAGAUUGUUAUUUUUGAUGUUCAGAACUUGUUUGUGAUUAUUGUUUUGGUGGUCAUAAUCCUUAUUUAGAUAUGGAACUACGAACUAGUAGUAGAAGACAUAUGAAUGUGGACUUAUGAUAAUAACAAUAUCAUGGGAAGCAAAUGUGACUUGAACGUAGUACUUAGGAGCUUAUAUGACUCAGUAAGCAUUUUGACAUCACAAAUACAAGAUGUUCAUGCAUAUGGAACCAAGGGGGAAAUAGGGCAGAUUCAACUUAAGGACAGAUACAUAUUCCAAGUAAGUACAUAUAAACGUACAAUUGAGCAAGUAGUGAUCAUGUGAGGUAACAUUAUUGUCUAACACAAUGGGAGUAAUAACAAGAAAGGGAACAUAUGAACGUGUGACAAGAUGACAUAACUAUAAACAAUUGAAGCAAGUUGGCAAGAUAUGGGCAGAUCGUAUAUCCAUCCUAUAAACAUAUGUACAAUGUGUAAUCUAGGAUCACCUAGACUUAUAUAGUGGAAAUACGUACUAGGGAUACUUUGACAAUGAAACAAGUUUAAACCUUGCAUGUAAUAUUUAAGUCAUUUAACGUCUUCAUAACUUCCCCGCACAUCCAGUCAUAUCCCUUAUCAUAACAUACAUAAAACAAUCUUUGAACAUAAUAAUGUAAUAGAAGCAAUAUGAAUCAUGGUUUCUAUUCACCAACACUUGAAGAGCUAACAUUACUUUUAAAGUGCUCAAACAAGCUCAUACCUUAAUUUAAAGAGGAUUUCUUACCAUAGUUGUCCCAAAAUGCACUAAUCACCAGAACAUCCUCCCCAAAAUUCACCAUGUAAAUGUAACAAACUCACUAACACAUACAUAGUGUCCUAAUUAACUCAAGCACAAGAGGGAGAAAAUUGCAGUAGCUUACCUUGCUGGACAUAACUACCACUUGCUAAGACUUGAAUUUUUCAAGGUAAAGGUUGUCCUCCUUAACUUGUCUUAAAUUAUACCUUCCAAUAGCUUGAAAUACCUAUUAUUCAAGAAACCUAAUGGUAUUUAAUGGACGUUGUAUGAAUCUAAGAGAGAGAAGAGAGAAAGUUCUAGAAAUC
rnacentral:lncRNA from 1 species